UUGUUAGUUGCCAUCAUUCAGUUGGGCACUCUAGCGAGACUGCCGGGUAAUAAACCGGAGGAAGGUGGGGAUGACGUCAAAUCAUCAUGCCCUUAUGACCUGGGCUACACACGUGCUACAAUGGUUGGUACAACGAGUUGCGAGUCGGUGACGGCGAGCUAAUCUCUUAAAGCCAAUCUCAGUUCGGAUUGUAGGCUGCAACUCGCCUACAUGAAGUCGGAAUCGCUAGUAAUCGCGGAUCAGCACGCCGCGGUGAAUACGUUCCCGGGCCUU
rnacentral:rRNA from 1 species